rnacentral:rRNA from 1 species
GAUGAACGCUGGCGGCGUGCCUAACACAUGCAAGUCGAGCGAUUCUCUUCGGAGAAGAGCGGCGGACGGGUGAGUAACGCGUGGGUAACCUGCCCUGUACACACGGAUAACAUACCGAAAGGUAUGCUAAUACGAGAUAAUAUGCUUUUGUCGCAUGGCAGAAGUAUCAAAGCUCCGGCGGUACAGGAUGGACCCGCGUCUGAUUGGCUAGUUGGUAAGGUAACGGCUUACCAAGGCGACGAUCAGUAGCCGACCUGAGAGGGUGAUCGGCCACAUUGGAACUGAUACACGGUCCAAACUCCUACGGGAGGCAGCAGUGGGGAAUAUUGCACAAUGGGCGAAAGCCUGAUGCAGCAACGCCGCGUGAGCGAUGAAGGCCUUCGGGUCGUAAAGCUCUAUCCUCAAGGAAGAUAAUGACGGUACUUGAGGAGGAAGCCCCGGCUAACUACGUGCCAGCCGCCGCGGUAA